UUCAGAUGCACAUUCUCCCAUUAAAGAGUGAAACACCUUCAAGAAUUCCUGUUCCACAGAUAAAGGAUCAGUUAGUUUCAUUCCAGUUUCUGUAUAGAUGGAUGUAAUGUUGUUUUGUCCUGUUCUAAUCUUCCAUUGAGCAUGAACGUAUUUUGUAUUUGAGUCUCCACAUUCAAUCCAUGUAGCUUUUGACUUCUGCCUCAAUACUUUUUCUUCAAUAUUACUCCAUUUCUCAAGUUCCUCAAGUGCCUUCCUUUCCUUAUGGAUAAGUUCCUGU
rnacentral:lncRNA from 1 species